GAUCAAUCAAAAACAGUUAGUUGGCAAUUUUGUUUUGGAGAUUUUGCAAUAAAGGACAGAGAUGGAUUUCAUGUUGAUGAUGAUAAAUGUGAAUUACCUUCUACCUUGCUGUAUCAGUUAACCAUAUACAACAUUAUGUAUUUGUUGGAAGUUAUGAAGCUACUUUAACUCACCUUGUAUAUUUUUGAUGGUCACUUGUCUCAACAAAUUAGUGAAUGACUUUUGUAUGUUUUCAGUAAAAUAUCUUUUGUGAUAA